rnacentral:lncRNA from 1 species
UGCUGCAUUGGCGGAGGUCGAAAAUUAUAAUUAUGCAUUGGAGGCAAUUGUCCAAAACUUAGCAAGCCCUCAGGUGCAGGUGUACAUAGGCCUCCUGUUACAAAUAUCAGAAGUCAUGAGCAUAGUACAGUAGCAAUGGAAUUUUGUACAACACCUCAUCUCUCUAACAAAAGUAUUAUAAAUAUUAAAUUAUCAAGCGCACUGGACAAAUUCACGAGGUAUGCAAUUGUAUUUGGUCAGAAACAUACUUAAAACAAGAUUUUCUUUAGGCUACUGUAAGAGAUAGACUUAACACAGGACACAUCUAUUUUGAUGACCUGGAGUAUUUUGACUGUUCAAAAUGAUUAUAUUUGGUCAGGUACACAACUUAUUCUCUUUGUAUGAAAAUCUAACUUGCAAAUACUUAUCUUAAUAAAACUGCAGUAGGAUAAUCCUACUGUUUCUGCUAUAUGAAGCACAAUCAAUCCUUUGUUCAAAAAGCAUGUCCUAACUAGUGUCUUGAUGUGAUAUAUCACUUGUUCAAUGAAGCAAGCAAAAGCAAAAAGACGUCAAGUGAAGCUCACUGUUUUGGUAAUUCAGGCUACACCUACACAUGCUGAUUCAGACUUAGAAAUUCAGACUUAGAUGUGAGUGAAGACUUGGCAGUACAAAAAUUCCCUUAAGACCUACACACGCUGAAUCAAAUAUUCUAGACGUUGAACACAGAAAUUACCUAAUGAUGCAAAUUCGAGCUAAAGAAAUUGCAAUUGAAAUUUAUACCAUGUAGGGUUUGCAGUAGAGGAUUCCAUGAGAGGGGGGUACAGGUACGGUGGUGUCGAGGGGCUGGCGGACGAGCUCGUCGGAGCGUCGGGGUAGAAGAGUUGUUGUGGCCAACGGCUGGCGCACGAGCUUGCCGGGGCGCCGGGGACGUGCUGCUGCGGCGGC